AUUGAACGCUGGCGGCAUGCUUUACACAUGCAAGUCGAACGGUAACAGGCCGCAAGGUGCUGACGAGCGGCGAACGGGUGAGUAAUGCAUCGGAACGUGCCCAGUCGUGGGGGAUAACGCAGCGAAAGCUGUGCUAAUACCGCAUACGAUCUAUGGAUGAAAGCGGGGGACCGUAAGGCCUCGCGCGAUUGGAGCGGCCGAUGUCAGAUUAGGUAGUUGGUGGGGUAAAGGCCCACCAAGCCAACGAUCUGUAGCUGGUCUGAGAGGACGACCAGCCACACUGGGACUGAGACACGGCCCAGACUCCUACGGGAGGCAGCAGUGGGGAAUUUUGGACAAUGGGCGCAAGCCUGAUCCAGCAAUGCCGCGUGCAGGAAGAAGGCCCUCGGGUUGUAAACUGCUUUUGUACGGAACGAAAAGGUCUGGGUUAAUACCCUGGGCCGAUGACGGUACCGUAAGAAUAAGCACCGGCUAACUACGUGCCAGCCGCCGCCGUAA
rnacentral:rRNA from 1 species